rnacentral:tmRNA from 1 species
AACCUUGAUAUUUGGGAACGAACGCCCUAUAAUAAGGAUGUCGGGUUCGCCCGACUAUGAUGCUAAACGCUUUGUGAAAUAGGCGUCGUGGACCCGGGGGCAGUGCCCGGCGGCUCCACCAUAUAAAACUUGAGAAUACAAACGACAGUUUUAUAUGAUGGGGCCGAAACAGGAUCGACACGCGUAAUAAAGAUAAAGUCUGUAUUCGUUUGAGGAACGGUCGUAUCCGUCCAAAUUUUAUAGAUGCAAAUGAUAAUGCACAGACCGUAGCAGCCAAUGACAACUCUUUUGUUGUUGCUGGUGAUAAAAUCGCUGCUUAAUUGCACCGAUGAAGCUACAUAAUCCCUGAAGCUUCGGCAGAGGGUGGGGCGCGGGGCGGCCUAGCAACAGAACUGCCCCAUU